UUGGGAAAUGCGAUCAAUUUAAAAUAUUUAGCUUUUAGUUCUCACUUAGAGUUCCGUUUGUAUUUAUUUUAGAGUUGCCUUUCUGAGCUUUUUGCUCCUUAAGGGCUGCCAGGCCUUACUUGGGGCCUGGGGACAUAGCAUGGUUUUAAUGCCCAUUUUAAUCAGUGCUUCCUCAUGCCUUCCUAAUUUGGAUGUUUUUCAGAAGGAGGAGAUAAUGUAUGUGAAAGUGUCUUGGAAAACAAAGUUUUAUAGAACUGCAAGCCAUCUUGAUCAUUAAUUUGGAGUCUUUUUUGGUGCUUUAUAUGUAGCACGGAAGACUGGAAAGAUAGUCAUGCAGAUGGGAUCUGAAGCGUGGCCCUGUAUUGUAGCCGUAUGAUCUGGGAUAACAUUUCUGAACUGUGAACUGGAGACUGUAAUUUCCAUUUCAUACAAUGGCAUGAGGAUCCAAUGAGAUAUUAUGUGAGUGGAAACAACUCUAUAUAGAAGAGGAUUAAUAAAUGGCAAGGAAGCAGAAGCACAGAGUCCAAACCGAGCAGUCUGGCCCUGGAGUGAGUGCAUGCUUCCA